UUGACCACACAAUUUUGUUUUUUCUCGGUUUCACCCUGUCACUUAAAUACAUGACACGCAUCACUAUUAAACCGAUUAUCAUUCCUCUUUGCCUUCGUCUUUCCCUUAAUUUUUGUUUUCUUCUUCGUCUUUUCUUUGCUUCCAAGAACUUUGUGGUUUCUCGGUGCAGUGAUUUUUGAGGUUUCGCAACGACGCGGACGGUUGUUUCGUCACACCCAACCAUCGGUUUCAAGCAGAUAUCUAUUUUGAUUUGGGAGUUGAGUAUGUUAUCUAUGUUCUGUACGUGGUCAUACCUGUUUUUUUUUAUGCUUAGAAGCAAUUCUCUGUUUCGAUUUUGGGUUAGUUGUUUUUUUUUUUCAAUUUUUGGUCUCGGGCUCCACCAUCAAUCACUUUGGGUUAGGGUUGGAUUUACUUUCACUAUUUAUGAAUUGUCUAAUUUUGGUCUCAGAUACGUAGUAUCAGUAUUACAAAUUGUAUCAAUUGUUCAUCUAAUUAGGAUAGCAAUCUUGAUAUACCUAUUCCUUCUAUCAAGGUGACGAUCCUUCAAUUUCAGAUUAGCACUUAAAAUCUGAAGGUAAGAUGUAGAGGUUAAGGUAUAGAAGAUGGGUGAAUUUCAGAGGUCUGUUGUUUGUAGAAUUGCUUCCUUAAGUAUCUGUUGUUUCGUUUCUUUCAUGUCUGUUGGUGUGUUCCAUAUUUUUGUUUAUUCUGAUGAUGUUUUUUUGUGCUUUGCAGGUUAUAUAGUGUAUCUGUGUGAUUUUUGUUGUCAAUCUGCUUACUCUGGUAUGUCUCCUAUACCGUGUUUCUGCUGUUAAUGGUAUUUAUUGUGGUGAAUGUAAGCAAAAUGAAAUGAUUCAAAUCCAGUGAUGUUGUAAUUCAUACCCUCUCCUUUUUGGUUUGUCUGUGCAGGCUUUACUAACAUCCCAUGGUUUUGGUUACAAAUUGUAAAAAAAAAUAAAAAAAACUGUCCAUCAAUUGUUAAAGGUAGGAGUGAGACUCCAUAAUUAAUGAACAAAAUUUGUUUCCUUCCACUUCCAAUAUGCACACGUUCAAUUAUAUUGUUAUCUUCUUAUUCAAAAUUACAUUUACAAAUGGAACAAGGGUAAUGAAAAGAAUUAACUUCUUGAUGCUGCAGUGUCUAUUAACUUUUUCAAUCUAUAUGUCAUUCCAUUUGUAACGUAAUUUAUACUUUUUGGUGCAGGACUUUACAUGGUCUUUGUUACACAGAGAAAUUUCAUUUCUUUCAACAUAGAGUUCUCAAAGAAGGUCUAUGUAUGAUUUACCUUUUAUACUUCCACAAUUGUGAAUUGAUGUGUUGUAUCUAGGCCUUUAAUGGUAGGAAAAAUGAGUUUCAACAAUGUGAGGAUACCUGGGAUGCCUAAUGGUAGUGCAGCUUCUGCAUUGCUAAAGUUUGGAGACAUUGUUGGUAUUGUAUAGUAUGCUUAAAGAAUGAUAGUCAAUGCAAGGAAGAAAACAGAGCAUUGGUGGAGGUUACACAUGUAAUUAAAUUAUAUAAAAGAUCUUGAACGAAUAAAAAUUAAAGUCUUAGUAUAAGUGAUUAAUAACAAGUAUUAUCUAUUAUUUUCAGCAUCACCCACCAUUUACACUUCCUUUUACACGACGUGAUGAAAUCUCUGUAUGAAUGGAAAGAAAACAAACUGACAUAAAGUUAUAGGAGGGGACUCUAGGUCAUUUUGUAUUUAUUUAUUUACAGAAAGUUAUUUAGCUAAAAUAAUCUAAUGCAUGAGCGUGCUUUUUUUAAACCAAUUAGCUUGCUUAUUGACAUAUUUUACUUAAGGGGUAUUUUUGUCAGUUACCAUUCUUUUACCGAAUUUGUUUGACUUUUUACCAACAGGGAAAGAAUGAAAGUUUUCUGUCUAUUCA
rnacentral:lncRNA from 1 species